rnacentral:rRNA from 1 species
GACGAACGCUGGCGGCGCGCUUAACACAUGCAAGUCGAGCGAGAACCAGACCUUCGGGUCUGGGGACAGCGGCGAACGGGUGAGUAACACGUGGGUAAUCAACCCUCGGUACUGGGAUAGCCCGGGGAAACCCGGAUUAAUACCGGAUGGCCCUUCGGAUCUUCGGUUCUGAAGGAAAAGGUAGCUUCGGCCUCCGACCGAGGACGAGCCCGCGGCGGAUUAGCUUGUUGGUGGGGUAACGGCCUACCAAGGCGACGAUCCGUAGCUGGUCUGAGAGGAUGAUAGGCCACACUGGAACUGAGACACGGUCCAGACUCCUACGGGAGGCAGCAGUGGGGAAUAUUGGUCAAUGGGCGCAAGCCUGAUCCAGCCAUACCGCGUGGGUGAAGAAGGCCUUCGGGUUGUAAAGCCCUUUUGUUGGGAAAGAAAUCCAGCUGGUUAAUACCCGGUUGGGAUGACGGUACCCAAAGAAUAAGCACCGGCUAACUUCGUGCCAGCAGCCGCCGUAAAAC